UAUGCAUGUGGUCAAUGGAUUGGAUGAAAAUAGACUCAAUUCAGCUGGCCAGGAAGCCGCAAAGCCAAAGCACACUCUGGAAUUUUGUGCAAAACUCUGAGGUAUCCCUUGAUUUUGUUUAGAACAGAGCAUAGUGGGGGUUAAGGACUAAAAACUCCAGAUACUUGCUAGAAGUUGCAUUAUGAAGACUGCCACUGUUAAUUUGAAGGUCUCGUCCAGGUUAAAAGAAUGUAAUUGAAGAGUGACUAAAGUGAUGACUUCAAAAAAGAUUGGAAGAUUAAGAAAAAGGAGAAAAAUUAA